CAAGAGCGUAUAUUAAAGUUGCUGCGGUUAAAAAGCUCGUAGUUGGAUUUCAGUCUAGGAAGGUUAACCCGCCGAAAGGUUGUACGUUGAUUUUCCUCAGACUUCGUCAGAAGCUCGUGCUGCACUUAACUGUGUGGUACGAUGUUCUGACCUUUUACCUUGAGGAAAGUAGAGUGUUUCAGGCAGGCUACCCAGCUUGAAUACAUUAGCAUGGAAUAAUGAAAUGGAUCUCGGUUCGAUUUCGUUGGUUCUAGAGCUGAGGUGAUGAUCAAUAGGAACAGGCGAAGGUAUUCGUACUUGAGAGUGAGGAGUGAAAUCCGAUGAUCUCUUAAAGACGAUCCGAGGCGAAAGCAUUUGUCAAGGAUGUUUUCAUUGA
rnacentral:rRNA from 1 species